rnacentral:rRNA from 1 species
AGUGAACGCUGGCGGUAGGCCUAACACAUGCAAGUCGAACGGCAGCACAGUAAGAGCUUGCUCUUACGGGUGGCGAGUGGCGGACGGGUGAGGAAUACAUCGGAAUCUACUUUUUCGUGGGGGAUAACGUAGGGAAACUUACGCUAAUACCGCAUACGACCUACGGGUGAAAGCAGGGGAUCUUCGGACCUUGCGCGAUUGAAUGAGCCGAUGUCGGAUUAGCUAGUUGGCGGGGUAAAGGCCCACCAAGGCGACGAUCCGUAGCUGGUCUGAGAGGAUGAUCAGCCACACUGGAACUGAGACACGGUCCAGACUCCUACGGGAGGUAGCAGUGGGUAAUAUUGGACAAUGGGCGCAAGCCUGAUCCAGCCAUACCGCGUGGGUGAAGAAGGCCUUCGGGUUGUAAAGCCCUUUUGUUGGGAAAGAAAAGCAGCAGGUUAAUACCCCGCUGUUCUGACGGUACCCAAAGAAUAAGCACCGGCUAACUUCGUG